UCAGUCGACUCCUACGGGGAGGCAGCAGUGGGGAAUAUUGCACAAUGGGGGAAACCCUGAUGCAGCCAUGCCGCGUGUGUGAAGAAGGCCUUCGGGUUGUAAAGCACUUUCAGUAGGGAGGAAGGUAGUGUAGUUAACACCUGCACUAUUUGACGUUACCUACAGAAGAAGCACCGGCUAACUCCGUGCCAGCAGCCGCGGUAAUACGGAGGGUGCGAGCGUUAAUCGGAAUUACUGGGCGUAAAGCGCAUGCAGGCGGCCUGUUAAGUCAGAUGUGAAAGACCCGGGGCUUAACCUCGGAAUUGCAUUUGAAACUGGCAGGCUAGAGUCUUGUAGAGGGGGGUAGGAAUUUCAGGUGUAGCGGUGAAAUGCGUAGAGAUCUGAAGGAAUACCAGUGGCGAAGGCGGCCCCCUGGACAAAGACUGACGCUCAGAUGCGAAAGCGUGGGGAGCAAACAGGAUUAGAUACCCUGGUAG
rnacentral:rRNA from 1 species